rnacentral:rRNA from 1 species
CUUGGUCAUUUAGAGGAAGUAAAAGUCGUAACAAGGUUUCCGUAGGUGAACCUGCGGAAGGAUCAUUAAUGAAGUCUGGGCUUCGGCCCUCUCUCUUCUACACACUUGUGAACUUACACCGUUGCUUUGGCAGGUCUCCGGACGGGCGUCAGCCUCGAAGGUCAGGUCGAAAGACGCCUGCCAAAGACACUUAUCCACCCUUUUUUAAUUGUCUGAAUCUUGUUUAUAACAAAUAAAAUAAAACUUUCAACAAUGGAUCUCUUGGCUCUGGCAUCGAUGAAGAACGCAGCGAAAUGCGAUAAGUAAUGUGAAUUGCAGAAUUCAGUGAAUCAUCGAAUCUUUGAACGCACAUUGCGCCCUCUGGUAUUCCGGAGGGCAUGCCUGUUUGAGUGUCAUUAAUCUCUCACAAGAUCUUCUGGUCUUGUCGAUGUUGGGAGCUGCGACCCCCCAGGGGGACGCUCUCCUCAAAUGCAUUGGUGCGGCCCGCCGCCCGGUUACACAACGUUCUAGGUUCGUCCAACUCGUUGAAGCCGGCGCAAAUCUGGCGCUGCACCUUAAGCCCGCCCUGAGCCUCGAGCUCCUGGCAUAACUUCAUUUAUUGACCUCAGAUCAGGUAGGAAUACGCGCUGAACGUAAGCAUAUCAAUAAGCGGAGGA